rnacentral:rRNA from 1 species
UACAGAGGGGGCAAGCGUUGUUCGAAAUUACUGGGCGUAAAGGGCGCGUAGGCGGCCUUCUAAGUCGAACGUGAAAUCCCCGGGCUCAACCCGGGAACUGCGUCCGAUACUGGCAGGCUUGAAUCCGGGAGAGGGAUGCGGAAUUCCAGGUGUAGCGGUGAAAUGCGUAGAUAUCUGGAGGAACACCGGUGGCGAAGGCGGCAUCCUGGACCGGCAUUGACGCUGAGGCGCGAAAGCCAGGGGAGCAAAACGGGG